rnacentral:lncRNA from 1 species
AUACGUGAUAUGUAUAUGCGAUAUAUUGUUUAGUGACUAUAGUAUUAUCUUAUUCUCGUAAAGGAUUUGGACGAGACGUGUACGCUCGAAGACGUCAGAAAGUCGGAAUGGUAUUGCAAAGCGAAUAAGGGAUGAAUCGAGUAAGCGAAGCGAUGUGGCGAAUAGAGUAUAGCUAGAGAUGGUCUAGAGAUUACGAGAUGCAUAGAUUGUGAAAGUUGAAAGAUGAGAUAGAGAUGUGAGACUGGAGUCAGAUUUAAGGCAAGUAUCCUAAACCUUUCCCUUGGAUAUAUUGCAAAUAUUCUGAUCCAUUCCUUUGGUAUAUGUUUCAAGUAUUCAUACCUUUCUUUUCAAUGUUCGAAAGUGCGAGUAUUCUGAACCAUUCUUUCUAAUCUUCAAGUUUCUAAAGAAUUUCCGUUUUACAAAUUAAUUCGAAGUUCAGAUUGUCAUUGAAGCAUGUGUUGCUCAGUGAUAGUUAGAGCUUUGAAUGAAUUGGGAUCUUCUUGAUUAUUCAACCCGCCAUUGUCAUGCUGGUUUAGCAGGCUAAAUUCAGUUGCUUAGCCGAUAAUGGAGGAUACUGAAUAGUUGAGGAUUUCCUGAACUGUGAUUUAUGAAAUGAUGGAUCAUGAUUUAUGAAUAGAUUAUUAUCAAAGUUUGAAUUGGAAUUAUUCUGUUGUUGAUGAUAUUUAUGAUGAUGUUCUGUUAAUUUACAUUGGCUUCUUGAAUUGAAUUAGAGAAUUGGAUUAUUGUUUUUAUAUAAACCUGUGGACCAGAUUCGUGGUCAUGUUAGGCCAAUGAGUGCCUUGGAUCCAGUGAUAGAGCAUGGCGGGGCCUGCUCGGGGUUAGUGCGGAACUGAUCAGCUGCCUAACCUUGGUUUUAAUUAAAAUGUGAUAGUCCAAUUCAAUAAUUCUUUUGGAAAGAUUGAAUUCCUCAGUAUUCAAUUGCUGCAAGGUAUUGUGGUGUUCUUAUACAAUACCUAAACUCGUGAACUCAGGUUGAACCCUUUUAUAUCUUGAACUCGUGAAAUUCUAUUAUAUCAUUUCAGAACUAUCAUUGUUUAUUAUUACUUGCUGAGCAUUGUUGCUCACCCUUGCUAUUCCUUUCUAACCAUUUCAGAAAGGCUUAAAGAUGAGAUGAUUGAUUGAGAUUGUGAGUAAGGCUAAUGCUAGGCGAGGAGACAGAGUUGAGGAUCCAGUGGUCGAGGAGUGUUCAGGAAAGUUGAUGAGGUUGGUGCAAGCUGGAAUAGUUGACAGUGAUUCUUCUUAUCGAAGAUGAUCUGAUUUGGUAAGAGAUGUUGUGUAAUAAUAGUGGUAGAUUCUAAUUUCAAUACUGUAACCUGGAUGCGAUCCUGUUGCUUUUAGGGGGUUUAAAUGUUCUCUUUCGAAUCAUUUAUUAAAGUUUAAAUGUUCUCUUGAAAUUAUCCUAUUAUGGCUUUCAAGAUUGAAAUUCAGGUUUUGAAAUCAUUCGAUUUAUGUUCUCAUUCAAAUCUUUUAUUAAAUGUUUUCACGUUUUAAAUUCUUUUGGAUUUUCAUUAUCAUUUAAAAAAAAAAAAUACAGGUUUUCAAAAGUGUUUAAAAAUGGGUUUUAUGUGGUGACGUCAGAAUCCAGGCCCCCGGAUUCUCGGACCGUCACAGUUGGUAUCAGAGCAACAGGUUAUAAGUAUUUGAAAUUAGAAUAUAGAUCAUAGUUAUAGGUUUUCUAGAGAAGAAUGUGGUGUAACCUCACAUAGAGGUAUGGUCGGACUAUUUAGGAAUAGUCUAGAGAUGUGAGUGAAGCAUAGAGUUUAGUUAGAUGAUCAAGUUAAUUGUGGAUAUCUAAAGAGAUUAGGAUUCUUAAGUUUAGACAUAUGAUUUCUAGUAUGUUGAUUAAUUGAGAUGGUGAAUUAUGGGAAAGGUCAGUAUUAGACCUAUAUAGAAGAGUUUGAUAGUGAAUGAUUGAGUUGAGAAUGGUGAAAAUGCAGAGUUCAGAGUAUUCUGACUAUACUGCAUAUUUGAAAUUGGAUUAUUGUAUUGAUUUGAGGAUGAUAUAAAUGCAUGGUUCAUAGUAUGUUGACCAUGUCAGAUAUUUGGAAGAUGUAUAUUGUUUUGAGUGAAGAUAUGAAGAGUAAGUGUAGAGUAUGAGUUGUAUUGGAUUAGAAGGAGAGAUUGGUAGAUAGAGGUUGAUAGGUGAGAAGUGAAUGAUAGAGAGUACGUGGAAUUGAGUCCAGUUAUUAGAGAUGAUGUCUACGAGUAAGUUAGAACGUUAGUCCUCGACGACAACGCUUCGAGCUAAUCGGGAUUUCAAAUGGCAUCAAGGUGGGCCCAUAACCCACAGGUUGAUGAUCCAGACAAUCGAAGAUACGUUACGUGUUUGUGCUAUGGAUUUCAAAGGCAACUGGGAUAAAGUAGAAGAAUGUAAACUACAUGGGCCAGAGUUAUUACGGACGAUAACGUCUACGAUGAUAUUUUACGAGGCUAAUACGAGUCAAAUCGAUUGAUUAUCGGGAACGUUGAGAAGAAGACUUACGUCGAACAACGAUUUAUUGAAGUAGAGUCGAAAUCUGAGAAGACCUUGGCAAUACCUCUCUUCAACUAAAGAUUCUUUUGAUUGUUUUCUCAUCAGUGAGAUAUUAUUAUGAUAUCUUUUCUACAAAAGUUUUGAUAAAUGAGAUCUUCAAUUUCUCAAAUUCUAAGAUGACAUUGAUAUUGAUGAUUGGUAUGAGUUGGAAGACAAAGAUGUGUGAUAAAGGAUUGUUGUGAAGAGACAGUGAUGUUCUUUGAUAUUGUUUGACAUUUCUUGACAGUCCUUGAUAUUAUUUCAUCUUCUUGGAUAUCCCAUGAUGUUCUUUGAUAUUUUGAUAUCCGUUGAUAUUCGUUGAUAUUCUUUGACAUUCUUUGAUAUUCCUUGAUAUCUUUUCGAUGUUCCUUAAAAUAUUCCUCGAUAAUCCUUAACAUUUCUUGAUGCUCUUUGAGAUUUCUUGGAUUCUUUCCAUUUGAUUGGGAUGAACAACUCUAUUUAUAGGGGACACAAGGUAUACCUGUCUGUGUGAUAGGAGUUGGAUGGGACGCCAUCACUUGUGUGUGUUGUGAUUACAAGAAGGUUAACAACCUUUAGUAGUGUCUAAUAUAGACACGCAACAUUAAGUUCAUUUGAUCGUAUUGAUCUCCCAGUCACUCUUGUAUUCCAAUGUGACCUACUUUGAAAGCAUUUUGUUCCUCCAAAAUUCCCAAAGAUUGAUUCUUGGGAAAACGAAUUUGGCAAUUGUGAAAGUUUUGAUUCUCCUGUAUUUUUAAAAGCUAAAGGUAUGCCAAGGUUGAUCAAAAGAUGGAUGACGAUACGAUAUUACGAAGUGUGUACGGUUUCGUUUUCUUCGGGGGGUUCCGAGGACGGAAUCCUUAUAAGGGGGUAGAAUGUAAUAUCCCAUAUUUUUUAAAUUUAGACUUGAUUGUUAUAAAUCUAUCUGUCUAAAUAUUAUUGUUGGCUUUAGUUGAGAAGUGAAUUGAUUAUGUGAAUAGCUUUAUAUGAUUAUACCUGUUUUGUGGAUUAAUAUGGAUUUUACAAAUAUUGCAUCCUCCUUCUUUCUCUGAUUCCGAGGACGGAAUCCCUAUAAGGAGGGUAGAUUGUAAUGACCCGGAUUUUUUAAAAAUAUUUUUAUUAGUAUUAAAAGUGAUUUUUCUUUAAAGAAGGGAAUAAGAUUUAAUAUUUUAUUCCAGUUUAAGGAGUUUUCAAAAUUUUAUACUAAACCCCGGGUUAUUGUGUUAUUGAUAAAUGAUUAUAUUUUUAAAACUGAUUUUCAUAUAUUGUUUCGAAAAUUCUAGAUGAUUAUUAUGUGAAUAUAUGUGUGAUGUGAGUAAGUGGUAUUGGUGGAUUUGUUGGUUAAUUAAUUAUGGUUAAUUAUGAGUAUUAUAUGAUUAAUAUAUGAAUUUUUGUGAAUUUUAUAUUAUCUGGUUUAUUGCGUUAACUGCUCAUAUGUGUUCGUAUUUGAGAGAUUUCAAUUUCUAUAUGCUCAGGAGAAAAUAUAGUUUAUUUGGAUAUUUUCAUAUCGAUUUAUGGAAUGUUAGAUGAUUUUAUAAUCGAUUUACGGAUUUAAUUGCGUAUAUUUAUAUUUAAUUAUUAAUUAUUUGACUUCCGUAAAACCGUCCACUCGUAACGAGGUAGCAAAUUUUCUUCCCGGAAGUUUCAACAAAACUGACCUUUAGCCUAAUUUGAAUAUUCCGGACACUUUUCGUGUUUUGACUUUUUCGAUCCGGAGUACGGUUUUCCCCGGAGUCGGUCCGGCGGAGUUUUUCGGGUAUUUUAAUUGUUGAUAAUUAUCCAGUUUGUCUCGAUAAACGUGAAACGAGAUAUUUUGAUUAUUAUAUUAAUUCUUAUCUUGUAAUAAUUGCAAUGGGACCCGCAUACUAAUGACUGAUUAAAAAGCCCCGUUUUGAUGAUUAUCUUGAAAACCAGUACCGAUUGGACCCCGCUUUAUUAAUAUAAAGCUAUUAAAUACGUAUUUUCAUGUCAUAAACGAUCCAAAGGGGUACCAAUUAUUUGUAAAUAUAAAUAGACCUUUCUAGAGCUUAUUUUCACCCGUAAAAUCAUUUCACCAGUUUCUUUGCACGAAUACCGAGAGAAACCGAGCGGUGUUCUUCGUGUUCUUCAUAAUCAAACGAAGAUUUGAAGGUGUUAUUGGAGUCAGAAUCAAGCGUGCAAAUAGUCAAAUCGAAGAUAUCGAAGAGUAGAACCCAAAUCAAUCAUCAAAAACAACAUGAGAUUCACAGGUAGGGAGUAAUUGAAGUUUUAAAAUUCGAAUUAUUAUGAUUUAAAUAGUGAAUUUUUGCAAACGUGUUUGUUUGAUUGUUUGGAUGAUUCCAUGUUGUAGAACGUGUUUUUCUCGUCGUUUUGGUAUAUUAUAUGUUGAAUUUUGAGUUCGGAAACAUCUAGAAAAGUGGGUUUGAUUAUUUGGUUGUGUUCUUGGUGUUCUUGAGGUGUUCAUAAAUAUUUUCACCGGAUUUUUUAUUAGAUGAAUCUGGGUGCAAUAUGAGGGUACCAUCAGGGGUGUUGGGUUACCAGGAGUUUGUUGGUGGUCUUGGAUGUUUCGUGGGUGCUCGAUUUCGAGCAAAUCGGGAAGGGAGGUGACUCGCCGGCGGCGAGUUUUUCCCGUCAUAUUCCAGCCAAACGGCUUGAGGAAUCGCAGAAACGAAGCCAUGUCCAAGUUCCCAGUAGUGUCUAGGCCAUAUCUGGAGGUUUUAGUGUGUGUUGGAGCGCUGUAGCGCCGUUAACGGUGAAGCAGUGGUGGCCGGCGGCAAAUUGCCAUUUGGCCACCCAACUUAUGAAGAUGGUGAAGAUCUGGUAUCGAGGUUUUGAAUCUUACAAAGUAACCCCUGUAACUUCUAAAAGUUACAGUUUAAACCUUGGCCGAAAAGUUUCAAAAGUUUACAAAAUAAACCUUUUGAUUUAAUUUUCUAAAAUUGUUUUAUUUAAUUAUUUUAAAUUUCAAAAAUAGUUUUUAAUUAUUUCUUUAUUCAAAAAUAAAUCUAAAUUAGUUUAUUAAUUAAUUUUAAUUAGUAAUUAAUUAUUUUAAUUGGUCAAUUAAUUUAAAUAUUAAUUGAUUAAUUAUUUUAAUUAAUUAUUAAUUGAUUUUAAUUGAUUAAUUAAUUGGAUUUAAUUAUCCUUUUUGAUUUAAAAAUUCCGAAAAAUAGUUUCGAGCUUUAAAAUAUUUUUCCAAAUUAUAUUCAAGGCUCGAUAAUUGUUUAUGAAUGAUUUCAAGUCCAAUUUCAAGUAUUUGGGACUUGAUUAUUUAUCCGAAAAGUGAUUCUUUUAUCGAUUUUAAUUCCGAAAAAUGUUUAAAAAUUCCAGAAAAUUCCCGAAAAAUCAUUUUGAACCCAAGAUUUGAUUUGACCUCUAUUGGGGUGGGAAACCUUAUGUGUAAUGUGUUGUCUGCUAUUGGUUGGAUGUCUUAUGUGUCGAUAUAAGAGUGAGAAAACGGUUUUAAACAUAUCUUUUGAUCCGUAAGUCGGAAUCGAGUGAAACGAAAGAGAGAUGAAAGCUUAUAAAGUCUAGUUUGGUAUGACAUAAUAAUAUGAUGGAGUCGAGAAUGUGAAUAAUUGUUGUUAAAUGUGCCGAAUGUGAUUAUAUGUUAUUGGAUUGUUAUUAAUUGAUGACUACGUGAUAUAUAUGUCUAUUCUUGAUAUUAUAUACGUGAUAAAUGAUUUGGAUGACAUAGUGUCGUGAGUUGAUUGAUAUUGGAUAAGAAUAUAUGGAUUAUAGUGAUUGGAUCUUGUUGAUUGGUUGUUGAUUGAGAUAGGAUAACAGGUGGAUAGUCUUAUACAUAGAGGAAACGAUGUCGGAAUUUCGAUAAGGAUUGAUAUGAUAAUUGAUUGGUGAUAUGUUAUGUGGAAUAUGAUUGAUUAUAUGUUAGAGUCAAAGCAUGCUUAUGUGUUACGUGGUAUGUGAUAGGUUUAAAGGGGUAUAUAAGUGGAUAUCGAUAUACGUGAUAUGUAUAUGCGAUAUAUUGUUUAGUGACUAUAGCAUUAUCUUAUUCUCGUAAAGGAUUUGGACGAGACGUGUACGCUCGAAGACGUCAGAAAGUCGGAAUGGUAUUGCAAAGCGAAUAAGGGAUGAUUGAGUAAGCGAAGCGAAGUGGCGAAUAGAGUAUAGCUAGAGAUGGUCUAGAGAUUACGAGAUGCAUAGAUUGUGAAAGUGGAAAGAUGAGAUAGAGAUGUGAGACUGGAGUCAGAUUUAAGGCAAGUAUCCUACACCCAUCUUUUGGAUAUCUUGCAAUUAUCCUGAUCCAUUCUUUUCGUAUGUGUUGCAAAUAUUCGUUCCUCUCUUUUUCAUAUUUGGAAAGUGCAAAUAUUUUUAUCCAUCCUUUUCUAAUCCUCCAAAAAUUCAGAUAAUUCCAGUUUUACAAAUUAAUUCGAAGUUCAAAUUGUCAUUGAAGCAUGUGUUGCUCAGUGAUAGUUAGAGCUUUGAAUGAAUUGGGAUCUUCUUGAUUAUUCACCCCGCCAUUGUCAUGCUGGUUUAGCAGGCUAAAUUCAGUUGCUUAGCCGAUAAUGGAGGAUACUGAAUAGUUGAGGAUUUCCUGAACUGUGAUUUAUGAAAUGAUGGAUCA